CAGGGCUGAAAGGAAAAGCAGGCCUAAAAGGACAAAAGGGUGAUCCUGGUGAGGGAUUUCCAGGACUCCCUGGACUACCAGGACCCCCAGGACCAUUUGCUUCUUCUGGUGAAUUUAGUAUACUGGAACCUGAAGAAUCAGGUUCUGGAGACCUUGAUGAAGAGACUGAGAUUUUAAGCGGUCUUCCUGGGCCACCAGGCCCUCCAGGAUUGCCAGGUCUUCCAGGAAAACCAGCACCUGAUUCAAAUGUAGGACUUCCUGGGUCACCAGGGGAAGAUGGGGCUUCUGGAGAACCAGGUCCUGAAGGUCCUCAAGGUCUUCCUGGUCUUGAUGGA